rfam:Pseudomonas fulva plasmid pNI10 gene for hypothetical Rep protein, complete cds.
GGGCAAGACAGGUGAAGUAGGCCCACCAGCAAGCUGGUGAUCCUUCUUCACGUCUUGCCUAUUCGCCUACCGGCUCAAGGUGAGUUUCCGAAUCGGAA